rnacentral:tRNA from 1 species
UCGUAGCUCAGUUGGUUAGAGCUUGGGUCUGAUAAACCCAAGGUCGUGGGUUCGAUCCCCACCG